rnacentral:rRNA from 1 species
UACGGGGGGGGCAAGCGUUGUUCGGAAUUACUGGGCGUAAAGGGCGCGUAGGCGGUGCGGUAAGUCACCUGUGAAAUCUCCUGGCUCAACUGGGAGCUUGCAGGCGAAACUGCCGUGCUGGAGUGUGGGAGAGGUGCGUGGAAUUCCCGGUGUAGCGGUGAAAUGCGUAGAUAUCAGGAGGAACACCUGUGGCGAAAGCGGCGCACUGGACCACAACUGACGCUGAGGCGCGAAAGCUAGGGGAGCAAACAGG